rnacentral:rRNA from 1 species
GGUCAAGCGAAUAAGCGCACACGGUGGAUGCCUUGGCGGUCAGAGGCGAUGAAGGACGUGGCAGCCUGCGAAAAGUAUCGGGGAGCUGGCAACAAGCUUUGAUCCGGUAAUGUCCGAAUGGGGAAACCCACCCGCUUGCGGGUAUCCUGCAGUGAAUACAUAGCUGCUGGAAGCGAACCUGGUGAACUGAAAUAUCUAAGUAACCAGAGGAAAAGAAAUCAACCGAGAUUCCGUAAGUAGCGACGAGCGAACGCGGACUAGCCCUUAAGCUGAUUUGGUUCUAGGAAAACGCUCUGGAAAGAGCGGCCAUAGAAGGUGAUAGCCCUGUAUCUGAAAGGGCCAUUUCAGUGAAGACGAGUAGGGCGGGGCACGUGAAACCCUGUCUGAACAUGGGGGGACCAUCCUCCAAGGCUAAAUACUACUGACCGACCGAUAGUGAACCAGUACCGUGAGGGAAAGGCGAAAAGAACCCCGGAGAGGGGAGUGAAAUAGAACCUGAAACCGUGUGCGUACAAGCAGUAGGAGCUCCGCAAGGAGUGACUGCGUACCUUUUGUAUAAUGGGUCAGCGACUUACUGUUCGUGGCAAGCUUAACCGUAUAGGGGAGGCGAAGGGAAACCGAGUCUGAUAAGGGCGCAUAGUCGCGGGCAGUAGACCCGAAACCGGGUGAUCUAGUCAUGCCCAGGGUGAAGGUGCGGUAACACGCACUGGAGGCCCGAACCCACUCCCGUUGCAAAGGUAGGGGAUGAGGUGUGAUUAGGAGUGAAAAGCUAAUCGAACCCGGAGAUAGCUGGUUCUCCUCGAAAGCUAUUUAGGUAGCGCCUCAUAUGUAUCCUCUCGGGGGUAGAGCACUGUUAUGGCUAGGGGGUCAUCGCGACUUACCAAACCAUUGCAAACUCCGAAUACCGAGACGGACUGUAUGGGAGACACACGGCGGGUGCUAACGUCCGUCGUGAAAAGGGAAACAACCCAGACCCACAGCUAAGGUCCCAAAUUCACUGCUAAGUGGAAAACCAUGUGGAAAGGCACAGACAGCCAGGAGGUUGGCUUAGAAGCAGCCACCCUUUAAAGAAAGCGUAAUAGCUCACUGGUCGAGUCGGUCUGCGGGGAAGAUUUAACGGGGCUAAGCAGUGAACCGAAGCUUGGGGUGCAUAACUUUGUUAUGCGCGGUAGAGGAGCGUUCCGUAAGCCGUUGAAGGUGGAUUGAGAAGUCUGCUGGAGGUAUCGGAAGUGCGAAUGCUGACAUGAGUAACGAUAAUGCGGGUGAAAAACCCGCACGCCGAAAGCCCAAGGUUUCCUUGCGCAACGUUAAUCGGCGCAGGGUGAGUCGGCCCCUAAGGCGAGGACGAAAGUCGUAGUCGAUGGGAAGCAGGUUAAUAUUCCUGCACCUCGCGUAAGUGCGAUGGAGGGACGGAGAAGGUUAGGUGUACCAGGCGUUGGUUGUCCUGGGGAAAGGCGGUAGGUUUGGAUCUUUGGCAAAUCCGGGAUCCUUUAAGACCGAGCACCGAGACGAGCCUUUAUGGCGAAGUCACUGAUACCACGCUUCCAGGAAAAGCUCCUAAGCUUCAGCUUACGCAGACCGUACCGUAAACCGACACAGGUGGGUAGGAUGAGAAUUCUCAGGCGCUUGAGAGAACUCGGGUGAAGGAACUAGGCAACAUGGCACCGUAACUUCGGGAGAAGGUGCACCCUUUUUGGUGGCUCGUGCGAGCUAUAGCUGAAGAGGGUCGCAGUAACCAGGCCGCUGCGACUGUUUAUCAAAAACACAGCACUCUGCAAACACGAAAGUGGACGUAUAGGGUGUGACGCCUGCCCGGUGCUGGAAGGUUAAUUGAUGGGGUCAGCCGCAAGGCGAAGCUCUUGAUCGAAGCCCCAGUAAACGGCGGCCGUAACUAUAACGGUCCUAAGGUAGCGAAAUUCCUUGUCGGGUAAGUUCCGACCUGCACGAAUGGCGUAACGACAGCGGCGCUGUCUCCACCCGAGACUCAGUGAAAUUGAAAUCGCUGUGAAGAUGCAGCGUUCCCGUGGCAAGACGGAAAGACCCCGUGAACCUUUACUAUAGCUUUACACUGAACGUUGAGUUCGUCUGUGUAGGAUAGGUGGGAGGCUAUGAAACUGUGGCGCUAGCUGCAGUGGAGCCAUCCUUGAAAUACCACCCUGUCGUGCUUGACGUUCUAACCUGGGCCCAUUAUCUGGGUCGGGGACCGUGUAUGGUGGGUAGUUUGACUGGGGCGGUCUCCUCCUAAAGAGUAACGGAGGAGCUCGAAGGUACGCUCAGCGCGGUCGGACAUCGCGCACUGUGUGCAAAGGCAUAAGCGUGCUUGACUGCAAGAUCGACGGAUCAAGCAGGUAGGAAACUAGGACUUAGUGAUCCGGUGGUUCUGUAUGGAAGGGCCAUCGCUCAACGGAUAAAAGGUACUCCGGGGAUAACAGGCUGAUACCGCCCAAGAGUUCAUAUCGACGGCGGUGUUUGGCACCUCGAUGUCGGCUCAUCACAUCCUGGGGCUGUAGUCGGUCCCAAGGGUAUGGCUGUUCGCCAUUUAAAGUGGUACGCGAGCUGGGUUCAGAACGUCGUGAGACAGUUCGGUCCCUAUCUGCCAUGGGCGUUGGAGAUUUGAGAGGGGCUGCUCCUAGUACGAGAGGACCGGAGUGGACGAACCUCUGGUGUUCCGGUUGUCACGCCAGUGGCAUUGCCGGGUAGCUAUGUUCGGAAGCGAUAACCGCUGAAAGCAUCUAAGCGGGAAGCGCGCCUCAAGAUGAGAUCUCCCGGGGCACAAGCCCCCUGAAGGAACCAUGUAGACUACGUGGUUGAUAGGUCAGGUGUGUAAGUACAGCAAUGUAUUGAGCUAACUGAUACUAAUGAUCCGUGCGGCUUGACCAU